GGUUAAAAAAAAAUCAUUAUCAAAUAACUACAGCUUGAAAAAGUUGGCGGGCGGGACGGAAAACGCGGCCUGGAUUUGCCAGCCCGCCGCCGCUCACAGGCGCGCCGCGGUAGCCAAAAAUGGAAGGAAACACAUCUGUAACGCAUUUGUGUGAUGUUCACCUUUGAGACCGCGCGGCUGGAUGGAGGCGCCUUCGUGGAACAAGGCUGGACACAAGCUGGUUGGUGCAUUGGGCAGACCUGAAAUCUGUGACACCACACGGUGUGGAUUCCAGCUCCAAAAUACAAGCCCCAUCCAGCUACUCUACCCACCAUCUCCACGACCACCGCUCCCAUCUCAGCUACCAUCACCCACUGUCUGGACACCUGCGGUGAUCACACCGACUCCAGCUCCCAUAUGUUCUCCGCGCAGCGGCCAGAGUGAUUUGAAAAAUGUCAAUCAGAUCACGUUUCUCCCCCUGAGGACUUUGUAAUGGCUUUCAUUUAGACUUAGGAUAAAACUCCAAAUUCCAUGUUACAGCCUACAAGGCUUCUGUGAUGAAUUUAUUUGUGUUGUUUGUGUC